GACGGAGGGUGCUAGCGUUGUUCGGAAUGACUGGGCGUAAAGGGCGCGUAGGCGGCUCGUGAAGUCGGGUGUGAAAGCCCGGGGCUCAACCCCGGAACGGCAUCCGAUACUGGCGGGCUUGAGAGCGGGAGAGGAGGGUGGAAUACCCAGUGUAGAGGUGAAAUUCGUAGAUAUUGGGUGGAACACCGGUGGCGAAAGCGGCUCUCUGGCCCGGAUCUGACGCUGAGGCGCGAAAGCGUGGGGAGCAAACAGG
rnacentral:rRNA from 1 species